CGUGGGUAACCUGCCCAAGAGAUCGGGAUAACACCUGGAAACAGAUGCUAAUACCGGAUAACAACAGAUGAUGCCUAUCAACUGUUUAAAAGAUGGUUCUGCUAUCACUCUUGGAUGGACCUGCGGUGCAUUAGCUAGUUGGUAGGGUAACGGCCUACCAAGGCGAUGAUGCAUAGCCGAGUUGAGAGACUGAUCGGCCACAUUGGGACUGAGACACGGCCCAAACUCCUACGGGAGGCGGCAGAG
rnacentral:rRNA from 1 species